GACGAACGCUGGCGGCGUGCUUAACACAUGCAAGUCGAACGGUAAGGCCCUUCGGGGUACACGAGUGGCGAACGGGUGAGUAACACGUGGGUGAUCUGCCCUGCACUUCGGGAUAAGCCUGGGAAACUGGGUCUAAUACCGGAUAGGACCACUGCCUGCAUGGGUGGUGGUGGAAAGCUUUUGCGGUGUGGGAUGGGCCCGCGGCCUAUCAGCUUGUUGGUGGGGUGAUGGCUUACCAAGGGGACGACGGGUAGCCGGCCUGGGAGGGUGACCGGCCACACGGGGACUGAGAUACGGCCCAGACUCCUACGGGAGGCAGCAGUGGGGAAUAUUGCACAAUGGGCGCAAGCCUGAGGCAGCGACGCCGCGUGAGGGAUGACGGCCUUCGGGUUGUAAACCUCUUUCAGCACCGACGAAGCGCAAGUGACGGUAGGUGCAGAAGAAGGACCGGCCAACUACGUGCCAGCCGCCGCCGUAA
rnacentral:rRNA from 1 species